rnacentral:rRNA from 1 species
UAGGGAAUCUUCGGCAAUGGACGAAAGUCUGACCGAGCAACGCCGCGUGAGUGAAGAAGGUUUUCGGAUCGUAAAACUCUGUUGUUAGAGAAGAACAAGGACGUUAGUAACUGAACGUCCCCUGACGGUAUCUAACCAGAAAGCCACGGCUAACUACGUGCGAGCAGCCGCGGUAAUACGUAGGUGGCAAGCGUUGUCCGGAUUUAUUGGGCGUAAAGCGAGCGCAGGCGGUUUCUUAAGUCUGAUGUGAAAGCCCCCGGCUCAACCGGGGAGGGUCAUUGGAAACUGGGAGACUUGAGUGCAGAAGAGGAGAGUGGAAUUCCAUGUGUAGCGGUGAAAUGCGUAGAUAUAUGGAGGAACACCAGUGGCGAAGGCGGCUCUCUGGUCUGUAACUGACGCUGAGGCUCGAAAGCGUGGGGAGCAAACAGG